AUAACACUGUCCACCCCAAGGUAAGAGACUACUGCUCUAUAAUAACACUGACCACCCCAAGGUAAGAGACUACUGCUCUAUAAUAACACUGACCACCCCAAGGUAAGAGACUACUGCUCUAUAAUAACACUGACCACCCCAAGGUAAGAGACUACUGCUAUAUAAUAACACUGAUCACCCCAAGGUAAGAGACUCCUGCUCUAUAAUAACACUGACCACCCCAAGGUAAGAGACUACUGCUCUAUAAUAACACUGGCCACCCCAAGGUAAGAGACUACUGCUCUAUAAUAACACUGACCACUCCAAGGUAAGAGACUACUGAUCUAUA
ensembl:lncRNA